rnacentral:rRNA from 1 species
AUUGAACGCUGGCGGCAGGCCUCACACAUGCACGUCGAACGAGUGGCGGACGGGUGAGUAAUGCUUGGGAAUCUGGCUGAUGGAGGGGGAUAACGACUGGAAAAUGUAGCUAAUACCGCAUCCCAUAGGAUGAGCCCAAGUGGGAUUAAGUAGUUGGUGGGGUAACGCCCCACCAAGGCGACGAUCCCUAGCUGGUCUGAUAGGAUGACCAGCCACACUGGAACUGAUACACGGCCCGGACUCCUACGGGAGGCAGCAGUGGGGAAUAUUGCGCAAUGGGGGCAAGCCUGAUGCAGCCAUGCCGCGUGAAUGAAGAAGGCCUUCGGGUUGUAAAGUACUUUCAGCGAGGAGGCGUUACCCACAGAAGAAGCACCGGCUAACUCCGUGCCAGCAGCCGCGGUAAUUC